AGUAGUAACAGCUUUACAGGAAGUUACACUCUCUUUUCAAACUUCUUUCAUCCAAGAAAACAUGCUUUGCUUUGGGACUGCCUGAACAUUCCUCCUGACAUUAGAGGGUCGUGGAAUUAAAGUGGUGAAUAAUACAUGGCUGAAAGCAUCCGUCUCUCUCUGAGUUGCCUCUUUUGGACGUCGGGGGAUCUGAAGGCAAGUUAUUCAAAUCCCCAAAUUCCCAGAGAUGGUGUCCUCGGUGGCGGCUACUGUACGGUCCUGCAGUUCUAGAUCAGGUGGGAGAUGUGCGACGCUCCCUCUGGUACCAGGACCUGGCUCCUGCAGCUCCAGCUCCAUGUAGUUGAGCUGCUUCUUGGAUGUGGGACUAACAGGAAUAUUCACAUACGUCACGCCGUCGCUGCGAGGCCUUUCGGGAAGCGGCGGCACCGCCUCUGGAGGGAAAACGAACACUGCCCCUGUUAAUAGAAGGAGGAGCGACGUGUUAAUUACGCUCAGCUGCCGUCGAGCCGCCUCCUGGACGCCCCCCUUCAUUAACCGCUUGCUGAGGCAGGAUGACGGGAAAGAUUACAUGUGAGCCGAAGCCGUGUGUGUGCGUAGGUACGUGAACAUGACUGAUGGGUUUGGUGCCACACUGUGACAGCUGCUGGGACUUUCUAAAAGCAGGUGUGCAUUAGGCUGAGGGCAUGUUUCUGAGUGUGGGAUGCUUAAGUGGCCAAACGCCCCCUGACAACUGUCCCCUCACCUCACCAUCGGGGGGCAGGUAUCCUGUCAUGCAUCCCUGCACUGCUGUUUGGUUACAUAUCUGUGUUUUCUCUCCACACAAUUGGUUCUUGCGUAACUUGAGUUUUAGGCGUUACAUAGAGUGCAGAUGAAGAAAUAAAUAUUCACACUUCAGUGAGUCACUUAGACUGCACAAUAACAAGGAGAGGACGCCCAACAGAGUACAUCAUUCUGAAUGACAUUAAUGACAACAACAAUGAGUCAUACAAGUGUUUGUUUUGCAAGCUUAUAUGUGAGGUCAUUGUCAUCACAAAUCAUAUAAAUGAUGCCUGCUUAGCCCUAAUGUGCCCUCCUCAUGUACUGUCAUUAUAUUCACGCCACACUCCCGAUUCUGUUGUGUUGUAGAAAUAUAUACAAAGUCGCAUGACAAUGUGAGCAGUCAAACAGUAACAACAAAAACAGGAGGACAAGAAACUACCACAUUCUCAAUAAUAAAUAAUAAAUGUAAUUAUUUUAUGAGUUGGUUAUUUAAUUAUAAUCUUUGAAUAAUUUCUUGAAACGGUCCCGAAAUGAAGCGUACAACAAUAAUCAAACUAAUUAACAAUGAAUUACUAUCUACAAACUGAACUCCAUUUCAAUUUCCUUUAAUUAAUGUCACAUUAUAUAGUUUCUUUCCAGAAAACCUCCUAGGAAAUGAU